rnacentral:SRP_RNA from 1 species
CGGGUGGAAUGGUGCAUGCCUGUAGUCCCAGCUACCUAAGAGACUGAGGCAGGAGGAUUUCUUGAGCCCAGGAGUUCUAGGCUGUAGUGCGUUAUGCUGAUCUGGUGGCAAUACUAAGUUUGGUGUUAAUAUGGUGACCAUCCUGGAGGGGGGCCCACUAGGUUUCUAAGGAGGGGUGAACCAGGUCAGAUUGGAAACCUAGCAUAUGGUCAAAACUCCCAUACUGAACAGAAGUUUUCGGGAACAAUCCCAGGUUAAGGACUGCAGAUUCAUUUCCUAGGCCACAGAGUCAGGAUCCCCUGCUUU